rnacentral:rRNA from 1 species
GGAUCGUAAAGUUCUGUUGUCAGGGAAGAACAGUGCCGUGCGAUAGAGCGGCACCUUGACGGUACCUGACGAGGAAGCCCCGGCUAACUACGUGCCAGCAGCCGCGGUAAUACGUAGGGGGCAAGCGUUGUCCGGAAUUAUUGGGCGUAAAGCGCGCGCAGGCGGUUCCUUAAGUCUGAUGUGAAAGCCCACGGCUCAACCGUGGAGGGUCAUUGGAAACUGG